UUCUUCCCCUGUUGGAAAACACUAGAAACAGCGGGAGGCCCUGUGUCUUCUUUUUAUUUUAUUAUUAUUAUUUUUUAAGAUUUAUUUAUUCAUGAUAGGCCCUUCGGGGCCGGGGAGGAAACCUCUCAGAGCGGCCCCCUGGCUCCUCUACGGUCCGCCUCUGGGCCUGCGCCUCUGCUGUGCCCGCGGCCUGGCUGCCUUUCCUCUCCGCCUCCCCACAUCCUCCUCCUGUGGGGCAGGCUUCCCCGGACACCGGGGCCCGCGGGGAUUCUGGAUUAUUAAAUACACAGCACGGUUCUCCGGGUGAGAAAUGAGCCGGUUCCCAGCCUCUUGGACACCCUCUGAGGAUGCAGCGGAGGGAGCCUCCGCGGGGGACGAGGAGCUUCUAACCCCUUCGUCGUCUCCCCCUCGGCCUCUUGAAAAGCAGAGCGACGCGGCGACACCUCCCUACAUGGAACGGCCCGUGUUUUGUUUCCAUCCUGUGUGUUUUGCCGCCCACCUUCCAUCGGUGACAGGUGCGAGCAGCUCUCCAUUUCCAGGAGGGAAGCAGAGACUGUUUUUAAAUACACUGACUGGAGGAGACGUGAGUCAGUUGGAAGGCAAAAUACUAAAUAAAUCGUGGAACAGGUGGGGCGCCGCCUUUCCCCAUGACUUUUGGGAAGCGCCAGGCUCUUCCAGGAAGUCCUCCGGGAUUGCCCGGGGCCCAGCCUUAGAGGUGUCGGCUUUGGUGCCUAAGGCCUCGCCCUCCCUCCUGCCUUCCGUGAGCACCCCCCACCCCAGGUGUUCAUCUCCCAAGGGUGACCUGGAACAGGGGGCCUGGGUCUGGGGGCCACAGUCCCACCAGCUGUGCCUGCACCUGGAGGAGAGCUCCGGGGCCGGCGGCAGCGCUGAGAUGGGGCAGGAGUGGGGGGCAGGUGCCUCUGUGCCAGCUGGGCUUGCCUCCCGCUGCUGUUGCUGCUGCUGCCGCCGUUGUCAUGGUUACCAAGCAAGCCUUCUAUCCCCCCCCCAGCCCCUCACCCUCGGAC
rnacentral:lncRNA from 12 species